rnacentral:rRNA from 1 species
UACAGAGGUCCCAAGCGUUUGUUCGGAUUCACUGGGCGUAAAGGGUGCGUAGGCGGUCGGGUAAGUCUGAUGUGAAAUCUCACAGCUUAACUGUGAAACUGCAUUGGAUACUAUUCGGCUUGAGAGUUGGAGGGGGGGACUGGAAUUCUUGGUGUAGCAGUGAAAUGCGUAGAUAUCAAGAGGAACACCAGUGGCGAAGGCGAGUCCCUGGACAACUUUCUGACGCUGAGGCACGAAAGCUAGGGGGAGCAAACAGG